AGUGAACGCUGGCGGUAGGCCUAACACAUGCAAGUCGAACGGCAGCACAGUAAGAGCUUGCUCUUACGGGUGGCGAGUGGCGGACGGGUGAGGAAUACAUCGGAAUCUACUUUUUCGUGGGGGAUAACGUAGGGAAACUUACGCUAAUACCGCAUACGACCUACGGGUGAAAGCAGGGGAUCUUCGGACCUUGCGCGAUUGAAUGAGCCGAUGUCGGAUUAGCUAGUUGGCGGGGUAAAGGCCCACCAAGGCGACGAUCCGCAGCUGGUCUGAGAGGAUGAUCAGCCACACGGGAACUGAGACACGGUCCAGACUCCUACGGGAGGCAGCAGUGGGGAAUAUUGGACAAUGGGCGCAAGCCUGAUCCAGCCAUACCGCGUGGGUGAAGAAGGCCUUCGGGUUGUAAAGCCCUUUUGUUGGGAAAGAAAAGCAGCAGGUUAAUACCCCGCUGUUCUGACGGUACCCAAAGAAUAAGCACCGGCUAACUUCGUG
rnacentral:rRNA from 1 species